UUUUUCUUUUGAAACAAUCCAAACUCAGUCUGUUGUCCAGCCUCUUCCCAUGAUGCAGCGGAGCAAGUCGGCAGCGAAGAAGGGCUUCAAGUUCCGAAAGUUCCUCGAUGCCUUCUUCAUUGACCGUAACUUCUUCCUAGCCAUUUGCCUCAUACUCCCCAACCUCGAUCGCGGGCGCGACUCUUACGGCCUCAAGGGGUCUGUCCUCCCCACCUCCCUCAUCGACGCCCUCGGCAUCUCCCGUUACUCCCCCCAUGCCCUCUAACUCAUCAAUUGGCGUAAAGGUGGCACCGCCACCAGCGCUAUAGUUAGAAAUUUUGCCCUUCUCGUCGUUGAGGUUAGUGCACGACAUCGUUUUGUCUGUUUUAGGGUUCUGCUAUGCUGUGAGGAGGUGAAAAGUGAAAUGUUGUUGGUUUUGACCCAAGUGCUGCACAACAGGCAAGGGACCGCUUCAGGAGGGUUGACGAUAAGGGAUUUGAGGUGAAAACAGUUGGCUACAUGUUAUGUGAUGAGUCCAUCUUCAAGAGUAAGGAAGCCAAGGAGAAGCCAUGCAGAAUUGAGAAGCUUCCAUGGAGAAGAAUGAAGGUGCGGAAGUUAGAAGAUGAGAGGAGAAGUGGUGUGGCAAUGGUGUUUGGAGAAGCUCUCAAGUGAGGUUGGGCUAACACUCAAGGAAGGGGGCUAGAGGAAACCAAGAAGGAGAACUCUAGCCUAAGUUGAUUCACAAAAAGAGAGGAGUCUGGAGUCAUCUUAAUAGAGUUUCUCUACUAUAUUCAUGAAUGAAAAUACAAGGGUCCUAAGCUCUCUAUUUAUAGUAGAAAAGGAGAGCUAAGUGGUUUAGAAAAAUGGAGGGAUAAAGAAUCUAGAAUGUGGUAUUUGGAGCCAAAAAGAGAGCAUGAGGCAAGUGUGACUUGCCACCUAAGCAAGUCACAAGGGACUUGCUUCUAGGCACAUAAGAGAAGCUUGGUGACCAAGCUUGGAGCAAGAAGGAUCUAGAUCCUCUCACAAAUGCGCUCUCUCUCUUUGUUGGGCCAAUUUCAAGCCCAACUCUUCUUUGGUCCAAUUCUCUUCAAAGCCCAAAAACCCUCCAAGGCCCAGUACAUGGCCCAAACAAAAACCCUAUUCUACAAAGCUCAAAAUACAAGGCCCAAAAAUAAACCUUAUUCUAAUAUUUACAAACAAAGAGUUUUAGGCUAGGUCUUCACAUCUUCCUUGGCCCAUGUAAAGUUCAUCUUGGGCCUUGUAUGUGCAUUGGAGGCCCAUUUCUCUUGUAUCCUCCUAACCAUUGCUCUUAUUGUGGGUCCCUUGCUUAGAGGCAUCUCAUCAUCCCCUCCCUCUUGAGAAGGAUUUGUCCUCAAAUCUGAAAUUUCUGCCUCAUCAUCUGUACCACUCAAAUAUUGGGCUGAUUCUCUUUGCACGUCCAACUAGCUUAAGCAUGCUGGUGGAUACAAUGAAUCCACACUAAGAACAUUAGUAGGCUGUUGGCAGAUAUUGUAGUCUAGGCCCAAAUACACUACAUAAUAAAGCCUAUUUAUUAGACUGAAAUUAAAUCAUUCAAAAAUAUGUAUUUAUUUAAUGACAAAGAAAAAACUAAAUUGGUCAGGCCAUUGGCCCAAGCUGAAAAGCCCUGUAAGGUGAUAUUCAUCAUUAUGUGAUUUCUCAUACUUAAGAUCGUUGCAUGAAAAUUUGAUUUCUCGUAAUCUAUUCAAGGAAGCGAUGUCAAAGGAUGUAAUGGAGAAGAUAAUCUUCUCUUUCUCUAAUUUGCAUGAACCAAUUUUCUACAGUCAUCUAAGGACAAGGAGUGACUUAUAUAAUUUUGGAGUUCUUUUAAGCUUGAGAGAAGAAGAACCUGCAAUAGCAACAACAUGAUGAAGACUUUUGAGAGCAAGGAGAAGAAGAAUAGCAAAAUUUGUCACUAUUUCAAGAAUAUCCAAUUUUCCAUGACUUUUAUAUGUAUUAUUAGUAUUAUUAAUAUAUCUUGUUAUCUCAUCAAACACAUAUAAGAAUAGAAACAAAAAUACACUUUAUUAACAUUUUUUUAGUUAAUAUGUUUUUUGUGGAAAUAGAAAAUAAUGUAUUUUAUCAA